ACCAGUUGGCGGUACAUUCCGAGCAGCUCUGUGGAGGCGUCGUUCUCGCGAGGUGGGAGGUGCGAUACGCGAAUGGCUCGGUCUGGUGGCAACCGCCGUUCGAGGAGGGGUAGGUCCCGGCCUUUGUUCUCUCCGUCGGCUUCGUGCACAGGGUCGCGGAGGCGUCCCGAGCGUUCAGACGCCGGCCCGGGCGUCAGUCUCCGGCGGCGACCGGUCGCGUUAGUUUCGAACGGGCUGUCCCGGGGAUUGCGUCUAGAGUGUUUGCACGGACACGGGUCGCGCACCGGUGGGGCAUGCAAGCUUUCCUUAAAAUAGUUUCAUUUUAAAAUAGCACUGCGCGGGUGGACGCCGGCGUGGUUAAAAGCACGGGAGAGACGGGAAGUGCAUGGUGGGGGGUUCGGGAAUUUUCAGUUGGAUGCACCGCUCCGUGUAUUGACAUCGCGGGACCAGCGAGAUGACCAAGGGCUACGGCCGGCUCACCGUGGACUCGUUCGUGGUCCCAUUACUGGGAAUGCACAGCCGCCUACUAGUCCACGGGGAGAACCGCAUGACACCCGGGAUGACCCAAGGCUACGCCCGGUUCACCACGGACCCGGUCCUAGUGCCGUUAUGGUAUGACAACUUAACUAGUGCACUCUUCCUAAGACCCCCUAAUACAGUUUUCAUUUUAUUUUAUAAAAAAAAAUGCAGACUAUAGAAUAUGUUAAGUUUGUUUUAGUAAGGACCACAGUUAAACCCCAUUUUGAAAUUGUCGAGAAGGUUGUGCACCCCCGACAUUCUGGAUUGCACUUGAGCCGUUCUGGAAUGCACAUCAUACCCCAUUGUUGCACGCGAAUGCAGUCCAAGAAAACAAUACACACUCUACUACAUCCCAAAACCAAAGUCUACUUAUUUUUAUUUUAUGCCCACUCAGAAACUUGUAUGAGGGAAUAUAAGUUAAACUCAGGGAAUAUUAGAUUUGAUUAUUUUAGUUAGGGUGAGGUUCAAGUGAGGCUAUUGUGUUAGGUGAGGAUUGUGGACAAAUUUCAACCAUCAGAUCAGGCCAUCUAACACCUGUAAGUGCACAAUGGGAGAAAUUAAACGGUCUCUAAAUAAGGCAAUAACAUUAUUAGUAAUUAAGGUUGGGGGUAAAAGUGUAAUUGAGAAAUUAAAUGGACAUUAACGUGAAAGGAAAGGAGCAAAAAAAUACGGCUUUUGAUUUAGGGUUAAAACACCGAAUGUGAAGGAGAGGUGUCGGCAUUGCAUAAUCAACUCAAGCAAACCUCUUGCACAACCAAACAAAGCCGUGAAGAACAAUCGUGAAGGAGGCUUGCACACCAUCGGAAUCUAUGGUGGACUCAACACCUCAGAGAAAUCAAAGGCAUGCAUCCGUUGAAGCGACAACUAGAAUCCAAAGACAUGAUAGGUACUUUUCUAGAUGAUAAGAAAGACCAUGACUGGGGAGCGAAAGUACUAAUGCUGGAUCCAAAAAGAAUGCAAAUGCGGUGGAGGGAUACGGCGAAAAAUCUGGAUAGUGGGGGUGUAUGCGAUGAGGCACAUGGAGACCUUCAUAGGAGAGCGUGAUACGAGUUGGGAGUGUGGGCUCAACAAAGGAGACAGAUCAAUAGUAGAAGCCUUGAGAAUGAAGUAAAUGAGUGACAUACUACUUAGUGAGUGUAAUGAGCAUCAUGCAAAAAACCUCACAAGCUCACCCCUAUUCGAGCAGCCUGGCAUAUUCACGCGAUAGAUGUAGCCUACUUAGUUAGUGUAACAGCUGAAAAGGAUUGCUUUGAUGACGUUGUCGAGAUUCAAGUGCCUUCAGUAGUUUAAAACUUUUUGCAUUAUUGUUAAUGUCUGUAAGUGGCACAAACUACGUACAGUACCAUGCUCCUAAUUAA